rnacentral:rRNA from 1 species
AUUGAACGCUGGCGGCAUGCCUUACACAUGCAAGUCGAACGGUAACAGGCCGCAAGGUGCUGACGAGUGGCGAACGGGUGAGUAAUGCAUCGGAACGUGCCCAGUCGUGGGGGAUAACUGCUCGAAAGAGCAGCUAAUACCGCAUACGACCUGAGGGUGAAAGCGGGGGACCGAAAGGCCUCGCGCGAUUGGAGCGGCCGAUGUCAGAUUAGGUAGUUGGUGGGGUAAAGGCCUACCAAGCCGACGAUCUGUAGUUGGUCUGAGAGGACGACCAGCCACACUGGGGCUGAAGCACUGACCGGAAUCCUACGCGAGGAUGAAUAGGGGAAUUUUGGACAAUGGGGGCAACCCUGAUACAGCAAUGCCGCGUGCAGGAAGACGGCCUUCGGGUUGUAAACUGCUUUUGUCAGGGAAGAAAUCCUGUGGGUUAAUACCUCGUGGGGAUGACGGUACCUGAAGAAUAAGCACCGGCUAACUACGUGCCAGCCGCCGCCGUAACAC